rnacentral:rRNA from 1 species
AACACUGGGUGGCGAGUGGCGAACGGGUGAGUAAAAUAUCGGAACGUAUCCUGUAGAGGGGGAUAGCCCGGCGAAAGCCGGAUUAAUACCGCAUAUGCUCAAAAGAGGAAGGCGGGGGACCGGAUGGGUGACCAUUGGGCCUCGCGCUAGAGGGGCGGCCGAUGUCGGAUUAUGCUAGUUGGUGGGGUAAGGGCCUACCAAGGCGGUGAUCCGUAGCGGGUCUGAGAGGAUGAUCCGCCACACUGGGACUGAGACACGGCCCAGACUCCUACGGGAGGCAGCAGUGGGGAAUUUUGGACAAUGGGGGCAACCCUGAUCCAGCAAUGCCGCGUGUGU